AAGAAUCUAAAUUGAUGGAGCAUAUGAGAACCUUUCUAUUUCCAAACAUCAAUAAUAAAGAACAAUGCCAAACCCAAACACAACCAAACUCCACUGACCAUCUCCACUAACAUUCUCCUCUCUCCCCUCCCAC